GAUGAACGCUGGCGGCGUGCCUAAUACAUGCAAGUCGAGCGAAUGGAUUAAGAGCUUGCUCUUAUGAAGUUAGCGGCGGACGGGUGAGUAACGCGUGGGUAACCUGCCCAUAAGACUGGGAUAACUCCGGGAAACCGGGGCUAAUACCGGAUAACAUUUUGAACCGCAUGGUUCGAAAUUGAAAGGCGGCUUCGGCUGUCACUUAUGGAUGGACCCGCGUCGCAUUAGCCAGUUGGUGAGGUAACGGCUCACCAAGGCAACGAUGCGUAGCCGACCUGAGAGGGUGAUCGGCCACACUGGGACUGAGACACGGCCCAGACUCCUACGGGAGGCAGCAGUAGGGAAUCUUCCGCAAUGGACGAAAGUCUGACGGAGCAACGCCGCGUGAGUGAUGAAGGCUUUCGGGUCGUAAAACUCUGUUGUUAGGGAAGAACAAGUGCUAGUUGAAUAAGCUGGCACCUUGACGGUACCUAACCAGAAAGCCACGGCUAACUACGUGCCAGCAGCCGCCGCGG
rnacentral:rRNA from 1 species